UGAAUUUAUAUAUCAAUAUUGAAAGCGUUUAAUUAUUUGAAUUUAUUUCCCUUCAUUUAUUUAGGACACCGUAUAGAAUGACAUACGAUAUUUUUGUUAUGCAAAUUAUGUCCACUUAGUGGAGUUCGGUGCAUAGGUACGUUGACGUGUCACUCCAUUUUUGAAAGGUUCAGGAGUCAGACGCCAGUAUCGGCCUCCGCAGUUUGGGGGAAACUUUCUGUUGUUUAAUGUGAUUUAAACGUGGUUUUAUGUCCCGCCAGAAAAGAGUAAGUGUUUUUGAAUUCAUUAGAUCCUUUAUGUUUUCCAUAUAUGUCAGAUAAAAUAAAUAAAGUCAAUUUGUAGUGUCUCGAUUUGCCCGGUUUAGGAAUGAGAGCAGGGCGUGUAGGUUUUUGACCCGGUUUUCGGCCCGGUUCCCGGUUCUGGUUUCGGAUUUCCGGUUUUCAGUUUUUUGUCUAGAUUCAUUAUAAAUUAUGCCAAUUGAAAGAGUUGAUCCACGAAAGUGAAAAUUGUAUGUUUGUAUUAAGAACUUAUUUGCGAAAUUAAUAAAAAGGAAAAUAAUGAUAUUAUGAUUUUGAUAUAACAGAGAAGAAUAUUAUUCACAUAAACAGAUAAACAUAAUAGAUACUAAAUCAAAACAAGUUUUGAUCUGAAAUCAAAACAUUUCAGAAUCAAGUGAAUGUUUAACUUCAUUGAUGUAUACUAAGAAAGUAUUUGGUUAUUACUCUACAAGUACGUGUCGUAAUUUAAUUGCUGGCAAAGGAAUUAUUUAAUGUAGUAGCCACUUGUUACUGUUUGUGAAAAGAAUUAGAAACAAAUGCAUAUAAGCCUUGACUAGUUAUGAUUUAAGUUGAAUUAUGUACUAGUAUAUGCAAGAUAAGUAAAGUUAUUUUAAAUCAACGUGUGCAUAGCUGAAAGAAAUUGACUAAGUUAAAGAAAGUUGUGAUUAUUCAAAGCUACAAGAAUUUUACAGAUAUUGCUUCUGUUCUUUCGACAUGUUUGAUCAAACAGACAGUAAAUUAUAAUAAUAAUUUCGAUAACAAUUCGGUUUGAUAAUCAUGAUUAUACUGUUUUAAGGGACAAUAGACAAUGAGUGUUCGUGUGUAAAAACAAUGAAAUAAUUACACGUGAAACAAGAUGCAGUGUGAUAAAACAAUCUUAUUUAUUAACAUGCUAUUAACUGAACAUCAGUUAUGUAAACAAAGACUUAUUAUUGUUUUAUAUAUUUUGUUCAAACAGAUCGAAUAAAAUAUACGUUUAACGACGUUAUAUAUCGGUACGGCGGGAUGUGACGGUUUGUGUUCCUUCUUUCGACUAUCCAUCGCAUUCGAUUCUUUUUCCUGAUCUGGGUUAGAAGAUAGAGGGAAUUCCGGAAACAAUGGCAUCUGAGCAAGCAUCUAAGGAUCUCAAGAUCAAGCGGAGAACAGCAAAGGCGAAACUAACUAGGCUGUCGAAUGGUUUGCAACAUUUACUGGACGAUGACAGGGAUCUUGAUGAGGUAACGGAUAUGUUUAAGGAUUUGAAUGUUGCUUAUCAGGAAUUGGAGGACAGGCACGAAAGGUACUGUGAGACAAUCGUAGAUGAUGAGGUAUUCAUGACAGAGGAUGCCUGGCUAUCUGAGUGUCAGACAUCAUUUCUUGACAUGCAGAGAAAGGUUAAGGACUAUAGCAAGACUAAGCUUAAGUCUGACGGGUCAACGGAGGAUUCAGUUGUAAACAAUGCUACUCCCGAAGUUACUACCAGUAAAUCGGUAGAGGUUUCGUCAUGCAAGGUUCAGGUAGAGCGACCAAAGCUGCCUCGAUUUACUGGAGACGUACGAGACUACAUGACAUUUAAAUCGGAUUUUAAGCAUCUAAUCGAAUCGAGGUAUAGCAAGAGAGAUGCUAUCACAAUUCUGAGAUCCUCUCUAGUGGGAAAACCUCUUGAUCUCAUACGUGGUUUGGGGAACGAUUACGACUCGGCAUGGUCUCAUCUUGACAACAUUUACGGAGACCCGAGAUUGGUAGCUGAUGCUAUCGUAUAUGACUUGGGGAAGUUCCGACCUCUCAAGGAUGGAGAGGAUGGCCGAUUCUGUGACCUUGUUCAUCUUAUCAGGAGAAGUUACAACUCACUGCAAGAAGUAGGUAGGGCGAAUGAUAUGGACAACAAUCAUAUGAUUUCUUUGAUAGAGAGAAAAUUAAGCAGUGAUGAUAGAAAGCUAUGGCUGAGAUUCAUUGACCGAGAGCGAACAGAUGCAUCACUCCAUGCAUUACUUUAUUGGAUGGAACUGGAAUUGAAGACUAGAGUAAGAGCAUCUGCUCCACUUCGGGACAGUAGAAGUUCUACAAUUGGACACCUCGCUAAGAAUGACGGAAUCACGGAAAGAAAGCCCGACUUUAAGUGCUGGUUAUGUAAGACGUCUGAUCACUGGGUUGACCAGUGCAAGAAAGUUCUUUCGAAAUCCCAAGAAGAGCGAUUUCAACUGAUGAAAGAAAACAGGGCUUGUUUCAGCUGCCUCAAGAGAGCUGGUAAGGACCAUAACUUGAAGACAUGCAAGCGCAGGAAAAGAUGCAAUGAGAAGAUCAAUACUGGCGAGCAGUGUUCUUCCUAUCACCACCCUUUGCUUCAUAGACAGAUUCAGACAGGGAGUGUGGAUAUUGCCAGUAUGACAGGAACACCUGCGCUUCUGCCUGUGCUUAAGGUAAAGAUGUUGGGCCCGAACGGAAAUUAUGAAGGAAAUUGUCUCCUAGACUCGGGAGCUCAGAUGAGUCUCGUAAGAAAUACAGUUGCAGAUGAGUUAGGACUGAAAGGGAAACCCACUGUUGUGAAUGUUACCAAGGUAGGAGAUGAAAUGGAGGAAUAUAACACUAUGCUGUACAAGGUGAAAGUUCAAGGGAUUAAUCGCCAUCAGAGUUACAAUGUUUCUGCAAUAGGACUCGACGUCAUCAAUAACAGCAUUACCAGUGUUAGUAUUGAAGAACUGGGAGUAAUCUUCAACCUGAGGAAAGAUGAAAUUCACAGAGGGGAUGGGCCGAUUGACAUCCUCAUAGGAACUGACCAUUCCAAGAUGCAUGUAGGGUACACGAAAAUACAAGGGAAUCUCGUGGCCCGUCUCUCACCGUUAGGCUGGGUCAUUUUCGGGAGUACUACAGAAAACUACUCGGCAGGAGCAGUGCUUCACAUCACAGUAAACAAUUCUGUAGAUCUCAGAGAAUUCUGGACAACAGAAGGAAUGGGGGUGUGUCAUGAUCCACAGAGAUGUCAGUCCAAUAAGAUGACCAAGCUAGAAGAUGAGGAGUUUCGAGUCAUCGGUCCUUCAUGUGAGAAGAUGGAAAAGCAAUGUCUCGACCAAUAUCCUCGGCGGAAAGACCUUAGCCAGUCGCGGCAUAUUCUCCAGAAUGUGAAUGUCCGAGAUGAAGUCAGCAGAUGUGUUAGCCUGGACAAGCUGAAUGACAGACAGAAGGAAGGUCUUGACUUCCUUCGUAAAACAGGGACAGAACGGCCCGUAGAAGCAAAGCUAGAGGAAAAGCUUCAUGAGGUAGUCAGGGAAUUGCGAAUGGAGAGACCAGUUUUGACUGUACAAGAAUCAAAAUCCCAACAUAGAAUUGACUGUCAGCAAUUUUCUAACUGGAUGAAACUUGUGAGGGUGACUUCUUACGUCCUGAAGUUCAUUGGAAAGUUGAAGUUAAAGUCCAAGAGAAUGGUAGAUGAGGACGUCGAAGUCGCCAAUAGUAACCUGACACCAACUGACAUACAGAAAGGAGAGGACCAUUUGAUAAAGCGUGCUCAGGAGUCUUUGAAGUCCAGGGUAGACAAAGGAGAAAUGAAGACGCUCAGUCCGUAUAGGGAUGAAGCAGGAAUUAUUCGGGUUGGAGGGAGACUAGAUCGGGCUGAGAUGCCAUUAGCCAUGAAGCAUCCGGCUCUGCUCCCUAACGAACACUGGAUCUCAACCUUGAUCAUUCGGCAUAUUCAUAAGGAUGGUCAUACCGGUGUUGCUACGACUACAGCAAAGGCCAGGAGAAAGUACUGGAUCUUGAAAGCACAUAAUCUGGCCAAGACGGUCAAGUUCAGGUGUACCACAUGCAGAACUUUUGAACACAAAUUAGAAUCCCAGGAGAUGGCGGAGCUACCGAAGGAAAGACUGCGGCCGCAUUCACCGCCAUUCCAUUAUUCAUCUUGCGAUUACUUUGGCCCUCUCAUUGUAAAGAUUGGACGGAACAAGACAACAAAACAUUAUGGAGUACUGUUCACUUGUUUGAACACAAGAGCAGUCCACCUGGAACAAGCCACUGAUUGCUCUACAAUGGAGUUUAUUCAGGUACUUAGACGGUUUUUUGCCAUUAGAGGUCAGCCAGCAAAGAUGAUAAGUGACAAUGGAACUCAAUUUGUCGGUGCUGAACACGAGUUGAAAGCAAUGGUGAAAGGCUGGUCAGAUGAGGACCUAAAAGACUUCUGUGCAGACAAGGGCACUGAAUGGAUCUUCACUACUCCUGCAGCUCCACACCAAAACGGAUGUGCUGAGGCAUUGGUGAAAAGUUGCAAGUAUGCCCUAAAGAAGUCUAUAGGAGAGCAAAUACUGUCUCCAUUUGAACUGCACACUUGUCUUCUGGAAAUUGCCAAUUUAGUGAACCAGAGGCCGAUUGGCAGAAUACCGACAGACCCCGAUGACGGGAGCUAUCUGAGUCCUAAUGACAUGCUCUUAGGACGAGCCUCAAGUGACGUUGCGCAAGGACCAUUCAGAGAAACUGCGAAUCCAAGACAUCGUGUCGAACUGGUACAACGGAUUGUUGACUCAUUCUGGCAUAGGUGGACAAGAGAUGUUCUACCACUACUAACACCCAGACGGAAAUGGAACACAGAUCGUCGGAACAUUCGCGUGGAUGACGUAGUAAUGAUGACAGAUUCAAACGCAGUGCGUGGAAAAUGGACAAUCGCGCGUGUUGUUCAAGUGUACCCAGGACAAGACGGUAAAAUUCGCAAUGUGAAGGUAAAAACAUUAAAUGCAGAAUACCGCCGACCAAUAACGAAGAUCGCACUAAUCUAUCCUGCGGAAGGUUAUGAAGACUAAACUCAAAAGAAGAGAAGAAUCAGAAGAUGAAAGGUGAAGAAAGAAGAUGAAGAAAAAGAAUAGUAAAGUUUAAUGUAAUGUAUGACUCAUGAGACUAACAAUAUCUAAUACAUCUCGAACUAAUCAUGACAAAAUCUAACAAAAUAAAGAGACUAACCAUAAUGUUAAAUACAACACUGAAUGUAACCAUGGUGACGAUAAUUGCAAUACAAGUUUGACUGAAUAAUAGAAAGUAGGCAUGUAACUUUGUAAUUUAAUAUUUACUAUGUAACUUUAAUUUAAUAUUGACUUUGGAAGUUAAGGACAGGUAAUAUGUGUUGUUAUGAGGAAACGAGACAUUCCUCAUAGGGCGGGGAGGAUGUUUCGCCCAGCGAAAAGAUUGUUUGAAUUUAUAUAUCAAUAUUGAAAGCGUUUAAUUAUUUGAAUUUAUUUCCCUUCAUUUAUUUAGGACACCGUAUAGAAUGACAUACGAUAUUUUUGUUAUGCAAAUUAUGUCCACUUAGUGGAGUUCGGUGCAUAGGUACGUUGACGUGUCACUCCAUUUUUGAAAGGUUCAGGAGUCAGACGCCAGUAUCGGCCUCCGCAGUUUGGGGGAAACUUUCUGUUGUUUAAUGUGAUUUAAACGUGGUUUUAUGUCCCGCCAGAAAAGAAUCGAAUAAAAUAUACGUUUAACGACGUUAUAUAUCGGUA
rnacentral:misc_RNA from 1 species